rnacentral:rRNA from 1 species
CAGCCGCCGCGGUAAUACCAGCUCCCCGAGUGGUGGGGAUGAUUAUUGGGCCUAAAGCGUUCGUAGCCGGCUGGGUACGUCUUUCGUUAAAUCCAAUGAUCCAAUCAUUGGACUGCGGGAGAUACUGCUCGGCUGGAGGGCGGGAGAAGCUGAUGGUACUCUCGGGGAGGGGUGAAAUCCUUUAAUCCUGAGAGGACCCCCAGUGGCGAAGGCUGUCGACUAGAACGCGCCUGACGGUGAGGGACGAAAGCUGGGGGAGCGAACCGGAUUAGAUACCCGGGUAGUCCCAGCUGUAAACGAUGCACGCUAGGUGUUGACGUGGUCAAGGAUCACCCCAGUGCCGCAGGGAAGCCGAUAAGCCUGCCGCCUGGGGAGUACGGUCGCAAGGCUGAAACUUAAAGGAAUUGGCGGGGGAGCAC